ensembl:lncRNA
GAGAGAGACUACAGUAAAGGGGAGAGAGGAGAGAGGAGAGAUAUUCUAAUUCUGAUACAGUUGUCUUGUAUUGUCUAUAUGCAUAUAUGUAAAUGUAGUUAUAACGCUGGAGAACAAUGGUCACGGCCAUUAGUGUCACAGGCAGUGAUCCUACUGUAGGGAGAGAGAAGGGACACAAGUUAGUACUGAAUUUAAAAAACGACAUGUUACAGGAGAACGACAUGUUACAGGAGAACGACAUGUUACAGGAGAACGACAUGUUACAGGAGCCUCACACCAGAGAGACUGCAGAGGAAGGAGGAGGGAGAAGGUGUACAGCAUUAGACGAGAGAGGUCCUUGGCAGGCUAGGCCUAUAUGGUGGCAUUACUAAGGCCCUUGGCAGGCUAGGCCUAUAUGGUGGCAUUACUAAGGUCCUUGGCAGCCUAUGGUGGCAUUACUAAGGUCCUUGGCAGCCUAUGGUGGCAUUACUAAGGUCCUUGGCAGUCUAGGCCUAUGGCUGAAUAACUAAGGGAUGCUUCAUCUAGUCCAUGCUGAUCCGCCCACUAUCAGGAUGAUUACAGACAUCAUCUUUUUAGAUUGCUGUGCUGUUUAGAUCUCACGCUCACAGUGUUAUGUUUUUUUUUUUUUCAUUCCUAAUAUUGCUGGACAACACUUUGCAUUGCAUGCAUACCAAGUUGUUUACCCUUAUAAAUAAUUCUACUUUAUUCUACUUGAUGUUUCAUGUUGGGAAUGCUAGUUGGGUCUCUGUUCAUAGCAACGGCUUGUUUUUCAUCACAAUCAACGUCGGGAGUCACAGUGAGUGAUUGGGGCUCUAAACUACAUGGCCACUGUUUCUACAGAGUGUAGGAGCUGUAAUUGUUUUCUGGAUGCCGGCGGAUAAACGUCGAAAGCAAUCACCGCGGCUCUGCUCGGAUCUCUCUGCCGCCAAACGGAACAUUUGUAGUUCAAAGCGCAUCGGAGGACAGCACAGCUCUUCUGGCUGCGUUUCAACAGAGUGGCGUUUCAUAAGCCUAUGAUCUCAACAAACACAUCAGACUGUAUCAAAUCAAACUCUUAAAAGAGACGAAAAAAUAAAGAAUCCCUGUACCGUGUCUUAGGUCAAGCGACAGUAUGUUUCAG